ACUGGAGAUGAUGACUGAGAGUCACCGUUGGAGGAGAGAUCGGAUUUGAAAUUAACUGAAUGACGGUGGUUAGGGAAGGGUUUGGGGGCGGUGGAGGUGAAGAUGAAGGUGACAUAGCGGGGAUUUUGGCUGCGGAGGGAGGAAUUGGGGUUAGGGUUUGCAGGGAGCGAGUGGUAAGGAUAAUAGGUGGUGGUGGUCGUGGUGGUCGUAGCGGAGAAAUAGAAAAAGGUCUUACAGGGGCGGGCGGAGGAGGUGGCUGCGAGAAGGGAGAGGAGGAGGAGGAGCAACGGUUGAGCCGAGAUCGCCAUUUCCAAGAGAGAGAAUCUCGUGAGGAAAGAUGAAAGACUUUCUUUUUGAAGGAGAGACGAAAGACGAAAGAUGAAAAAUGAAAAGUGCGAGUUGCCUCUUGUAAGGUAAUCCCCUAAAAU
rnacentral:lncRNA from 1 species